UCAACUUGUUCUGGAUCACAGACACUUGUCUACUCAUCUCCUCGAAGCCUGGCUCUCAUGAGGUCUAACCCAAUUAGGACGGCUGAAAACAACUUGCUGGCCUAACCUCUGCCUGUUAUAAUGAAACUAGAGGCCCUGUGCAUGAAAUUCGUGAAUGGGUGCGGUCCAUAGGCCUGGCUGGCAAUCGAAGCACAAGCAUCUGGCGUGGAAGGGCAGGUCUCAGCUGACCUCUGGGCCCUGGACAGCACCUGGGUCCCCAGACCCCUGCAUGUCCCCCUCCACCUGAGUCACAGCGCCCAAGUCCCCACACGGAGAUUCGUCAAUUUUUAAAUAAAGUAUUUUAAAUGUU